rnacentral:rRNA from 1 species
GGUCUGUUCGCCCUUUAAAAUCUAACAUGAGCUGAGUUCAGAACGGCGUGAGCUAGUUCAGUUUCUAUCCUCUUUUUGAAAUGAGCUAAUUUUGUACGAAAGGACUUUUUCGCUAAAGCAAUGCUUUGUCACAAAUCUGUGGUUGCAUAAAUAAUAGUGCAUAAUAGGUUGAUUAGCCUAUAGAAAGGGUUA